rnacentral:rRNA from 2 species
GUGGGUAGUUUGACUGGGGCGGUCUCCUCCUAAAGAGUAACGGAGGAGCACGAAGGUUGGCUAAUCCUGGUCGGACAUCAGGAGGUUAGUGCAAUGGCAUAAGCCAGCUUGACUGCGAGCGUGACGGCGCGAGCAGGUGCGAAAGCAGGUCAUAGUGAUCCGGUGGUUCUGAAUGGAAGGGCCAUCGCUCAACGGAUAAAAGGUACUCCGGGGAUAACAGGCUGAUACCGCCCAAGAGUUCAUAUCGACGGCGGUGUUUGGCACCUCGAUGUCGGCUCAUCACAUCCUGGGGCUGAAGUAGGUCCCAAGGGUAUGGCUGUUCGCCAUUUAAAGUGGUACGCGAGCUGGGUUUAGAACGUCGUGAGACAGUUCGGUCCCUAUCUGCCGUGGGCGCUGGAGAACUGAGGGGGGCUGCUCCUAGUACGAGAGGACCGGAGUGGACGCAUCACUGGUGUUCGGGUUGUCAUGCCAAUGGCACUGCCCGGUAGCUAAAUGCGGAAGAGAUAAGUGCUGAAAGCAUCUAAGCACGAAACUUGCCCCGAGAUGAGUUCUCCCUGAGACUUAGAGUCUCCUGAAGGAACGUUGAAGACGACGACGUUGAUAGGCCGGGUGUGUAAGC